ensembl:lncRNA LEMD1-DT LEMD1 divergent transcript
AAGCCGGCUCCUCUUGCACUCACUUCCUUUGUGUCUCUCUCUCUCUUUCUCUCUCUCUCCCCCUCACCAAUCUCUUUCUUCCCUCCUUGUCCGAUUCUCUGCUGUAGCUUCCAGUGGAGAAAAAUAAUUAUUCUUCAAUGGGUUAGCACGGGGCGCACGCACACACGCGCGCGCACACACACCCCGCCGAGGUACCCAAUCAAUGCACAAAUCUUCGGGGUCCCUUUAACCUCUGCGGAUGACUCCGGGAGUUAAUUAUGAAGCCUAUUUCGGCGCGGCAUAAAUAUGCAUUAAGCCCCCCAGCCCCGGGGCCGGCGUGCCCGGCCCACCCCGCCCUCCGCGCCCCCCGACGGCCGCGGUCAGCCGGCAUUCCGGAGCAGCGCGUCGGAGCUGCAACUUCGCGCCUAAGCGCCCGCACCUCGCAGCCCGGCGGGCGGGAGACAAAAGCUGCGGCGCCGCCGCCGGAGGCCGCGCGGCCAAGGAAUUAAUGGAGAAUUCAGAGAAAUCAGAGCUUCUACCCCACCACCCUCUGUCAUUGCACUGCCCUGGCACAUGGGCACAACGUCUUCUGAGAAGGGACACAAACUGCUCAGACAUGCGGCAUCCUCCCUGUAGUCCUCCUUUCCUGGCCAGUUGGAGAACGAUCUCUGCCUUUCAGUUCUGAACAGCUUCCAGCAUGCCCCAUAGGGAACAUUUUGGAUUUGAAUGAAGAGCAUAAAAAUGUGGUCAGCAUAUUGGCCUUGGUAUUUGAUUUUCUUUUUUCCAUGCAACCGGCCCCAGGAGGUGACUGACAAGUUGGGCCAAGUGCACUGAAAGCCCUGUCUCGGCUGGCCCAUAACUCCUGAGCUACACAGACCCCUAAGGACCCCGUGAGCCAGCAGAGAGCCAUAAAUCCAGCAAGCUGGAGGCUGGGAGCUCACUGAUUGCACUGGGGAAAAGCAGCCUGAUCUGAUUGCUAUGUGAGCUGGAGAGAGAAAAGGUGGUAACUGGAGUGCUGGAAAUACAACGACUUUGGAACAAAAUGAAGCAACAGAGGAAUGGCAGGAGGGACUGUGGUUUUCUCAUCUGUACAACAAAGGGGCUGGAUUGGACUGCCUCUGAAGCCCUUUCAUCACAGAAAUUCUGUGUUUCUCUUUGUAACUAAGGUCAAACAGAUGUGGGAGGGUGUCAGGAUGGGAAAGCAAGAUCGGGGGACCCAGAGAAGCCAGAAGAGGCAACGAGGAGGCCAACAUAUUUACUGCCCAAUUACUAUCACAUUUUUUGGUGUGUGUGUGAGACAGGGUCUCACUCUGUCUCCCAGACUGGAGUGAAGUGGUGUGAUCUCGGCUCACUGCAAACUCCGCCUCCCAGGUUCAAGCGAUGCUCAUACCUCAGCCUCCUGAGUAGCUGGGAUUACAGGCACAUGCCACCACACCUGGCUAUUUUUUUAUUUUUAGUAGAGAUGGGGUUUCACCAUGUUGGCCAGGCCGGUCUCGAACUCCUGGCCUUAAGCCACUCACCUGCUCAGCCUCCCAAAGUGCUGGGAUUACAGGUGUGAGCCACUGCACCCGGCCAACUAUCACAUUUAAUUCUCAGAAUAACAAGUGAGAUAGAUAUAGUUAUCGCUAUUUUACAGAGAACACUGAAGUACAGAGGCUACAUUAAUAUCUCAAGGUCACAAGGCUCCGUGCUCAGGCUGGGAUUCCAACCCAGGCAGUCUGACCCAGAGCCUGCACGCUUGGUCAUGAAGCCCUCUCGCCUGAGUAUGCAAUGUGACCAGGAAAACCCUGGAGGAAACAUGUACACAACUUGUGUUUCCUUACUUUUAAGGGUAAGAGUGGAAAACAGAUAGUCCCCAUGGAGUAGAUUGUCCAAAAUACACAUCUGUCUUCUGGGAAAGAGGAGUGUGUGUGUGUGUGUGUGUGUGUGUGUGUGUGUCCAUAGGGGAUGUAACAGACAGAACCAAGAAGCAUGUAGGUGAAAAUAUUUAAUAGGGAUGAAUGUAAAUUCCUGUACCUGGGCACAGAAUCCCCAUUAUAUAAAAAUAGAAUAGAGAGUUAGGAUCAGAAAGCAUCAAUUUAGGGGCUUCACCUGACAGUAAGCUCAGGUUGAACACCAGUGUGGUGAGGCUUCCAGAAAAGCCCACCACAGGGCUGCAUCAACAGAAGGGAAGUGUCCCACACCAGGACAGAACCCUUAGACCAUUCGCGCUAGGUUGAGUUCCAGGCCCCUUGCUAUAAGAGGGACAGAGCCAGGCCGGAGAGGAUAAAGAGGAGAGCAACAGGGAUAGUGAUGGACAUCUGAGGAAGAGGUAAAACACCAGUUGAAAGAACCAGGCCAGACAUGGUGGCUCAUGCCUGUAAUCCCAGCACUCUGGGAGGCCAAGGCAGGUGGAUCACCUGAGGUCAGGAGUUUGAGACCAGCCUGGCUAACAUGGUGAAAUCCCGUCUCUACUGAAAAUACAAAAAUUAGUCAGGUGCAGUGGUGGGCACCUGUAAUCCCAGCUACUUGGAAGGCUGAGGCAGGAGAAUUGCUUGAACCCAGGAGACAGAGGUUGCAGUGAGCCAAGAUUGUGCCACUGCACUCCAGCGUGGGCAACGGAGAGACUCUGUCAUAAAAAAAAAGAAAAGAAAAAGAAAGAACCAGGUGACAUUGUGCAAGUUACACCAUACAUCACAACGUCAGUUUUCCUAUCUGCAAAAGGGGUUUAUUAGUAGGGACGGCAUAGAGAUUAAAUGAGGUAAUGCAUGUAAAGUGCUUAGCUGGGGGCUGGACAUAAUAAACGUUAGCUGCACCAGCCGUUAUUAAACCCUGAGCAUGCUCACCUCAGACAAGGGGUGCAUCAGGGACCUGGCUGGAGGAUCAAGCACAGGGAUCUCCAUGGCAUGGGUCCAGAGUCACAGCUC